UACGUUUCUCCGCGGAGGACAUU
rnacentral:rRNA from 1 species